CAGCCGCCACGGUAAUACGUAGGUGGCAAGCGUUGUCCGGAAUUAUUGGGCGUAAAGGGCUCGCAGGCGGUUUCUUAAGUCUGAUGUGAAAGCCCCCGGCUCAACCGGGGAGGGUCAUUGGAAACUGGGAAACUUGAGUGCAGAAGAGGAGAGUGGAAUUCCACGUGUAGCGGUGAAAUGCGUAGAGAUGUGGAGGAACACCAGUGGCGAAGGCGACUCUCUGGUCUGUAACUGACGCUGAGGAGCGAAAGCGUGGGGAGCGAACAGGAUUAGAUACCCGCGUAGUCCCUGUCUCUUUAUA
rnacentral:rRNA from 1 species